GUGUAGAAGAUGUCUGCUGGGGCUCCUGGC
rnacentral:piRNA from 1 species